UCAACUAGCCAUCUCCUUUAGGGCUGCAGCUACCGAUUAUUUUACUAAUCAAGUAUUCUACCGAUAAUUCCAUUGAUUAAUCGAGUAAUCGGAUAAUAAAUACUUUUGCUUUAUAGUAAAUAGCAAUAGUAAAUAUA